rnacentral:tRNA from 1 species
GGGGGUGUAGCUCAGUGGUAGAGCACAUGCUUAGCAUGCACCACAUGCACGAGGUCCCAGGUUCAAUCCCCAGUACCUCCA